GAAUCCUGAAUUCGAAAGGGGCCCUGGAUUCAACGUGAUCCUGCAUCAUAAUGGGGAUUCACGACCGGGCCAGAUGGUGCCGGCAGCCCGCUCGCGAUUCGCGUCGCCCGCGGUGUCUUCGCCGGCCGCCACUCGGCCGGUCUCGCCCCGAUCGGGACGCGUGCACUUCCACCCUAGUAGAAGCGUCGCGACCCGCUGGGUGCCGGCCUCAGGGCCCGGGAUGGCAGACCGCUCGGCGUCCUCGCGGGGGUUCCCGCGGGGCGCCCGGACUCCCGGUGACCCGGCCGGCUGCCCGGCGGUAGGACCAGAGGAGCCGAUCCGCUCGAGGGAAAACACUGUGGCUUUGUGGAGCGUCCGGGCCCGGCCCGGGCGCGCGGCGCGGGAGCAAAGGUGCGAACCGGGGGACCCCGUGCGAAGCACGGUCCCGGCCCCGCCGCGCGCUCGGCCGGUCUCGCCCUCGGACGGGAUCGAUACUCCCGUCCGCGACGACCUUCCUUCGGAUGGUCUCCCG
rnacentral:rRNA from 1 species